rnacentral:misc_RNA from 1 species
GGAGUAAAAGUCGUAACAAGGUUUCCGUAGGUGAACCUGCGGAAGGAUCAUUAUUGUAUAACCGAGGUGCGAGGGCUGUCGCUGACCCGAAAGGUCGUGCACGCCCGAGUGCCCUCACACACAUCCAUCUCACCCCUAUGUGCACCACCGCGUGGGUCCCCCUUUGGCUUGUUCGGAGGGGGGCUUACGUUUUCACACAAACUUUGUAUGCAGUGUAGAAUGUAUUUUUUGUUUUUGCGAUCACGCAAUCAAUACAACUUUCAACAACGGAUCUCUUGGCUCUU